UCCCCAAAUCCACCUCACUGACAUGGAGGAUUUUUUUGCAAGAAUCCAUUUCAAUAAUUAGCUUGAAGCAAACCCAGCCAUUACCAAAUGCAACACAGCAACAGUACACGAUAGAGACAUAAUACGAUGCACUUCAUUUCAAAACAAACCCAUUUCAUUUCAGUCUGAGAAUCCAAUGCGUCUGAGGGCUUUUGGUGCUGGGAGAGGCAGCGCGGCGCGACGCCGAGCAGAGCUUGCGGUGCUGGGAGAGGCGGCUACGGCCUGCUGGCUGAGCACGGGGGGCAACGCCGCCUGUGGGAAGAGGCGCCGACGGCGACGAUGUGGGAGGGAGGCGCAACCGCGCGAGGGAGGCAGGCAGGCGUAAGACGUGCGAAAUGAAUGAAGUGAAACUGAAAAAUCU
rnacentral:lncRNA from 1 species